GAAUUUUAUAUAAUUAUUUUUUAGUAGUAAUAAAGUAUAUAUAAUAAUUAAUUAAUAAUUAUAUUUAAUUGGGAGGAUUGUUAAAUUUAAGAAACUUUGAUUAAUUUAAAACAUUAAUUAAUGAUAUUAAGAAUGGUUUAUUUAAUUAAGUAAGAAUUAAUUACCUUAGGGAUAACAGCGUAAUAUUUUUGGUGAGAUCAUAUUAAUAAAAAUGUUUGC
rnacentral:rRNA from 1 species